UCUGCCUUUUUUUUUUUCCCCUUUGAAAUUUCAAAUUCCAGUUUGUGGACAAAGUCCUGCCUAUCUGAGAAUAUAGAUCUCCGACCACUGACCAAACUCCACUUGAAGCAGUCCCGAGGACUGCUCUUCCCCUUGCCCACGGAUGUGGCUGCUCAGUCCUUGGAUUUCCCAGGAUCACGCUGAAAAUUUUGCACUGGAGCACAGCACUGGUACUUGCACAAAGCGGAUUUUGCACUUAAUGCCAGCAGCUUCCUUUCUGGGAAGAACCUCGGGAAUAACCAGGAAUGCCUGAGUAACCUGUCGUGUCCCCAAUGUCCUCAAUCACCAGAGCACAGCACGGGGUGAGUGAGAGCCAGACAACACUCAGGAGCUCCAUGUCCACAGCAGCUGCACGCCCCCCACACACCCUCCUGUGUGACACAACCCUCCUGUCCACUGCCAGAGAAACAAAAACACAGCAGAAAGCAAGGUAUGGGAACAUGGGAACACAGCAAGGGCAGGGGAUCACACGUCCCUACAGUUCCAGAAGCCAGGACACUGCAGGGACAACUGCCUGGCUCCCAGCUAACAAACAUGGGAACUGCUGACCAGCCUGUGAGUAUUCAACCUAGGUCUGCAGCACUGGAUAACACUACUGUUUGUCCCUUUACAUUCCUACAAGUCCCAGUGCCAUUGGCCUCUUGUAUCAUAAAGAAAUUAAAAUAUAUUAUGACCAUAAACGACA